rnacentral:tRNA from 1 species
GGAGGUUUGGCUCAGUUGGGAGAGCAUCUGCCUUACAAGCAGAGGGUCAGCGGUUCGAGCCCGUUAACCUCCACCA